rnacentral:lncRNA from 1 species
GCCUACUGCAGUAUUUCACUCUUUGGCUGGAACCUCAGAUCAACUGACGUUUAUCUACAAGGAUUUUUAUCAGGGUUGUUUGAAACCAGGGGUCAGCAAAAUUGUUUCGUGACCAGUCAAGUAUUGCCGUGACCCUCAGGUUGAAGGUCACAUAACCUGAGCAUGCCCAGAUGAACCAAGUGUGCAGCCAGAGGGGGAACCUAAGGGCUUGGACUGACGAUCGGGGGACUGAAUUAAGAAGUGGACAUGGCAGGACCCAGGAUCCAAUCAGGUCAAUCCCUAGCAUCAUCUCAUGGAAGGAUCCAAUCAGAUCAUGCCUCCCAGCAUCACUUCAUUGCAAGAUCCAAUCAGAUCAUGCCUCAUUACUUCAUGCCUAUAAAACCUGACCCAGCCCUCUGUUUAGGAGGCACUGUUUUAGGAAUUAUCCCCUGUGGUCCCCUUACUUGCUGCAAGUAAUAAAAUCCCCUUGUUAAGUCCU